CAGUCUGGCAGGACUGAGAUGGAGAAGGACAGGCUUGGCAAGUGGAGGCGUCAAGGAAGAGAUAAACAAGGAACGGCCAGGGGAGGCCUGAAUAAAGAGACCCGGGCUGCCAGUGUAAUUUAAGAGUCAUCAGCUUGAUAACAGUGUUCAAAACCAGAGGAGAGGCAAAAGAAAAUCAACAAUUCUCCCAGCCGCAGCGGGUUCCAUCUGUUAUAAGCUCAAAUCUCCCAAGCACCGCGCAUCAUGGGAGCAGAGGACCCUGCCGUGAACACCAGGCUUGAGCCGGCGACGCCCGUGGAGUCCGAAAAGGGUAACCACCACUGUUGGGAGUCCGUGGCUACAACAACCGUGUGCAGAGGACAGCAAGGAUGUCAUAGCACCUCACUCCUAUCUUCAGGCUCCGGCUCUUCCAUUCUUUCUGCUCCUUCUUCCUUAAUGUUGUGUGAGCCUUGAAAGAGUGAUAUAGAUAUUCCAUUUAGGGCCGGGUGCUCAAGAGUCAGUUAUUUUCAGCCCUGAUCAGUUAGGAAUCUCAGCACUAACUUCUGCCCGCUGCAAACAGAAUGGCGCUCAUCAGAAUGCAAACAGAACUGCCAUUACUGUUAACAUACUCAGUAAAGGAACAGUGGGCAGGUAAUGAUUGCAGAGAUGGACGUCAUAGUCCUCAGUGGUGUGGACUCUGCUAAGCUGCCCUUGCUGAAGCUACAACUCCCCUAACCAUUCACAUUCAAUUAAAAGCACUCAAACUUAAAUGCAGCACCCAAACUUAAAAGGCAUAAACCGAUUAAAACUUAAAAAGACAUGGAAGUUGUAAAGGGACUUGUUGGGGAGAAGGGGGUUGACAAGAGGGACAGAGAGGAAAGGUAGGAUAACGGGGGAGGGGCUAGGAACAUGGUUCAGUGGGUAAGAUAGCUCACCAUGAAAACAAGACAGCCUGAGUUCAAAUCCCGAGCCUUCAUGUAAAAGAGCCAGGCAUGGCUGUUUGUGCCUAUAACCCUAGCAUCGGUAAACAGGGAAAGGUGGAUCCUGGGAGCUUGCUGACCAGCCAGCCAAGCUGAAAUGGCACUCUUCACGUUCCAUGAAAGAUCAUGUCUCAAAAUAAUAAUGAUGACAGUGAUGGUGAUGAUGGUGACAGUGAUGAUGAUAUGACGAUGAUGAAAAUUAUAGAGAAAGACACUCUUUGUUCUCCUCUGACCUCUACGUGGGCACGAACACCCACCCACUUACAGGUGUGUACAUAUAGCACA